rnacentral:rRNA from 1 species
AAACCAACAGGGAUUGCCUUAGUAACUGCGAGUGAAGCGGCAAGAGCUCAAAUUUGAAAUCUGGCACCUUCGGUGUCCGAGUUGUAAUUUGUAGAAGCAUCUUUUGGAUUGGUCCUUGCAUAUGUUCCUUGGAACAGGACAUCAUAGAGGGUGAGAAUCCCGUUCAUGGUGGGGAAUCCAAUUCUUUGUAAAGUGCUUUCGAAGAGUCGAGUUGUUUGGGAAUGCAGCUCUAAGUGGGUGGUAAAUUCCAUCUAAAGCUAAAUAUUGGCGAGAGACCGAUAGCGAACAAGUACAGUGAUGGAAAGAUGAAAAGAACUCCGAAAGGAGAGUGAAAAAGGACGUGAAAUUGUUGAAAGGGAAGUGCUUGAGAUCAGUCUUAAGGUUUAGUGAUCAGUCUUCCUUUUGGUUGGUGCACUCACUAUUUCUUAGGCCAACAUCAGUUUUCGCGGCAGGAUAAUGACAUUGGAAUGUGGCUCUUUCGGGAGUGUUAUAGCCUUUGUUGAUACUGCCUGCUUAGACUGAGGACCGCGCUUUUGCUAGGAUGUUGG